rnacentral:rRNA from 1 species
CCGGCGCACGGGUGAGUAACACGUAUCCAACCUGCCGUCUACUCUUGGACAGCCUUCUGAAAGGAAGAUUAAUACAAGAUGGCAUCAUGAGUCCGCAUGUUCACAUGAUUAAAGGUAUUCCGGUAGACGAUGGGGAUGCGUUCCCUUAGAUAGUAGGCGGGGUAACGGCCCACCUAGUCUUCGAUGGAUAGGGGUUCUGAGAGGAAGGUCCCCCACAUUGGAACUGAGACACGGUCCAA